rnacentral:rRNA from 1 species
AAAAACCCCUUCCGUAGGUGGACCUGGGGAAGGAUCCAUA